CAGGUGUCGUGCUGCAACAAGACAGCUGGUUAAAGUUACCUGACGUGAUUUGGUUUGCUCGCAAAAAGUUAAACAUUGUUGUAAUAAGUUUUACAUCGUACAUCAACAAGGAGCAACAGUCAUUAUGACAGUACAGUAGUAAAAUGCACGUCAAAAAGUCGCUAUCAACUUCAUUGUAGUAGUUUCAAACGCGCCAUCUGUAGGUAGUUUAUCACCAUGUAAGGAUUUUAGCAUGCUGCUCAUGUUGUCAAUUUUGGAAAGAAAUCAACCUUGGGAUUAAUAAUUCUGUGAGCUCCGUUUGGACCUGCCCUACAUGGACAGAGGAAAAUUGUGGCUCAUCUCAGGAUCACAAGGGAGACCACGGCAACAAAUCGACGCUGGAUAAUGAGAGCAUGCUGAGGAGGAAAUACCUUGGCUAAGGUAGUCCCUGCGACAGAGGAUGAGGUUGGCUUUCGUAUAGAGGGUGGAGCCCACCUCCCCCAGGCGGCAGUCGCAGCAGGCACAUUUGAGACAGUCCUCGUGCCAGUAUUUGUCCAGGGCCUUGAGCAGGUAGCGGUCUUUAAUCUUGCGAUUGCAGCCAGCACACCCCUUCUGUUUCCCUUUGGGCUGGACGGAGAGCAUCGGCACACCUGUAAGUGAUAAGGAGACAAACAGCCACGCGUGAUUUACGGCCCGGGAACACGAGUGACUUUUCAUGUUCUCAUUUUGAUAAGCUAGCUGCUUCUCGAGGCGUCUAAGCCUGGCCACAGCACACUGCCUACCUGCUUCAUAUGCAUUAAAGAAAACAUUCUUCCAUGUAGAUAGGCACACAGGUCACAUUGGACUACAAAGCCCUGACUUACUUGUUCCACCAGGAACAUGCUGUAGUACAAAAGUUACAUGAUCACUUGCAGCAGGUUCCAGAGGAGGGGGGCAUGUCGUGUGUGCUCCUCCAGAUAAAAGACACAAUGUUUAUUUUGCUUACUGUGGUAUUUACAGCGAGCUGAGUAGCACGUUAGUUACCUACCAUUUCAUCAAAGCCCAUUUUGCUCAACUGUCCACAGCUGUAAAAGCUCCUCAUGGGCUUUGUUUGGUAUAGAUUAACAUUAACCUUUUAAAAAGCCUCUGACCACAAAACGCUGCUACCAGACCCCAGUGAGAUAUGUUAUGGCCUAAGUGCCUUUUAGCAUACACUCACUCUCUGUGUUUCAUACACACACACAGGGACACACUGACACAGCCUCACACACACAUUAGUGCAGGCAAACCACAAAAUCACACACACAGUACUCAGAGCAUUACAGCCUUUUCCUCCUUUUACACUUAUCUGUACUCAUGUGUCUGCAACGAGCGGGCCUAAGUUACCAAACUCGCAAAUUGCCCUGCUGUCACGCAGGUCCCCUUUAAGCACGCCUUUUAGCCUCCUAAAGGACAAAUAAAGUCCAUUUAAUAACUGCACUAAACACUAAUAGUGUAUGUGUGGUUGACAUUUGUGUUUGGACUAAAAGCCCCCCUCAGGCCACUGGUGGUACAGAGGCAGGGGCGCGCAGCUCCCCUCUGUAGCACUAACAGGUCUGCCACAGCUGAAAGCACAAGACAACAGCUCUUAAGACACUCUCUCACACACUGAGCUAUUGAUCCGUCUAAAAGAACACACAGUGGACGCCACUUGCCACUCUACUUUCAAAACACAUUUCUCUCUCUCGCACAAAAAAAGGCUGGACACUCUGCAUGACAGGGGGUUAGGCAAGCAUUUUGUAUGUGUUUGUGGAUAUCUGUAAAGGCCCGCUUUAGAGAGACGUUAUACAGAGUUUGGAGCGAAAUGUCACUUGUUAACUGUUGCACUUUAGAGAUGUGCUCCGGUACAUUUUGUCCAGACUAGAUAAAGUUUUUAUUUACCUUUCUUUAUGCGGGGUUGCGACAGUGUAAAGUUGAGUGUGAAUGGGGUCAUUGUGUCGUAAGAGCUGCCAUUUUACAGUAACUUCUGUGGUUUGCUCGGUGAUAAACACAACUUCAGCUGGCAACAGGGGACUGCUUCACUCUGAGUGCAGUUUUCUUUUUUCCCCCUAAGCCUGUCAGCUUCGUUCUCUUUCAUAAAAACCUUCCAACACUUUUCAAAGGCCUACUUUGGAAUAAAGAAGCAUAUUUUCUCUC